rnacentral:rRNA from 1 species
AGCGAACGCUGGCGGCAGGCCUAACACAUGCAAGUCGAGCGCCCCGCAAGGGGAGCGGCAGACGGGAGAGUAACACGUGGGAACGUGCCCUUUGGUUCGGAACAACCCAGGGAAACUUGGGCUAAUACCGGAUAAGCCCUCACGGGGAAAGAUUUAUCGCCGAAGGAUCGGCCCGCGUCUGCUUAGCUAGCUGGUGGGGUAAUGGCCCACCAAGGCGACGAUCAGUUGCUGGUCUGAGAGGAUGAUCAGCCUCACUGGGACUGAGACACGGCCCAGACUCCUACGGGAGGCAGCAGUGGGGAAUAUUGGACAAUGGGCGCAAGCCUGAUCCAGCCAUGCCGCGUGGAUGAUGAAGGCCCUAGGGUUGUAAAGUCCUUUCGACGAGGAAGAUAAUGACGGUACCCGUAGAAGAAGCCCCGGCUAACUUCGUGCCAGCCGCCGCGGUAAAAC